UUUAAAAUUUAUAAUCAUUCAUAUUCUUCAUUUUUGGUAAAAGAUCAACAAGACCAUCUUAGUUUAAAGAAAAUGGCUAAAGUUGCUAAAAAGGAAGGAAUUAUUUUUCAAGAUUUGGCAGAGCCUUUAUUAGAUGGUCAGAUAGAUAUAGAAAAUAAUUGGCCAAAUCUUAAUGGUACACUUGGUUUAAUUGGAACUUCUUUAGCCAGCAUUACAUUUAUUUACUGUAUUUGGUCAUUUUUCAAAAUUAGAACAUUAACAACAACAAUUUUGAUUUUAGAAAGAACUAUUAAUGCUCAUUCUGCUUCCAUACCAUCUUUUAUUUUUAGACCAGAAACCACAACCACUAGCUCUAUUAUUUCUCACAUGUUUGAUCAGGAAUUUAAUAUGAAUCAUAUUUUAUUAAUAAUAAUUGGUAUUUUGAUUAUAUUUAUUGGACUUAUAUUAUUUAAAAGAAGAAAAUCGAAAUCACAUUUUACGUAUUUAAUGAUGGAGAUUACAACUGGAACUUCUUGUCUUCAAGUUCCCCUUAUUAAGAUGCCACUAUGUCCUGCUUAUUGGGAAAUUAGUAUGCCCCCUUCUGUAGAGUCACUAGAGGUUGUUGGUACUUUUCAACCAACUUUAUUAAUUAAAUGGGAUGAAUUUUUGAUCAAAAACAAAAUAAAUGAGAAAUCAUUAACUGUUCCUAAGAUGAUCAGAUUGCCACUCUUUCAAAGUUUACAACUAAAACAAAUUUUGAAACAACCAUACUGUGUGUAUAUACUUCUAGUCCAUCAAAACCUAUUUAAAGUCUUAAAUCAUGAAUAAGGUCUUUUUUGCCUGAAGAAUUUUCUACCUUAAAUUUUUUUUUUUCUCUCAAUAUUGUUAAGUUGUAUAGUGAUAUAGGACAUCAAAGCAUGACUUGUGCCGUGGAUAUUCAAAAAGGACAUCGAAGAAAUCAUCAAUAUUUCGGACAACAACAAUAUAUUAUUCGUACAUAAUGGAGGACACCGUGUGCUAUUUCUAAAAUUAUCAUGGAUUAUGUGAUCACAAAUUAUCAGCAUUGUGAAUUUAUUAUAUGGAAAAAAGUGAAUUUGUGAUGAGAUAACGAAAAGUGAAUUUGUGAUGAGAUAACAAGAAGUGAAUUUGUGAUGUGAUAACAAAAAGUGAAAAGGUGAACAUCACCAUACCAUACAAAAGGAUUAUUAAGUGUUUAUAUUAAUAAAAAUGAAAUACAAAUUGCAUGAAUGAUUUACUCUAACCAAACAAAAAUGAUAUUAUAUUCUAAAUUCAUCCCAAGAUAACUAGUUGAAUCCUUAACAAAUCUUGUAUUAGGUAUAUUUAUAGUAAUAUUUUUGUUUGCUCCUU
rnacentral:lncRNA from 1 species